rnacentral:rRNA from 1 species
UACGGGGGGAGCAAGCGUUGUUCGGAUUUACUGGGCGUAAAGGGCGCGUAGGCGGCCAGCGCAAGUCAGUUGUGAAAUCUCCGGGCUUAACUCGGAACGGUCAACUGAUACUGUGCGGCUAGAGUGCAGAAGGGGCAACUGGAAUUCUUGGUGUAGCGGUGAAAUGCGUAGAUAUCAAGAGGAACACCUGCGGCGAAGGCGGGUUGCUGGGCUGACACUGACGCUGAAGCGCGAAAGCUAGGGGAGCGAACGGG